rnacentral:rRNA from 1 species
GACGAACGCUGGCGGCGUGCUUAACACAUGCAAGUCGAACGGCAAGGCCCUGCUUUUGUGGGGUGCUCGAGUGGCGAACGGGUGAAUAACACGUGAGUAACCUGCCCUUGACUUUGGGAUAACUUCAGGAAACUGCGGCUAAUACCUGCUAGGAGCUCCUGCUGCCUGGUGGGGGUUGGACCGUUUCUGCGGGUGGGGAUGGACUCGCGGCUGAUCAGCUUGUUGGUGGGGUAGUGGCUAACCAAGGCUUUGACGGGUAGCCGGCCUGAGAGGGGGACCGGCCACAUUGGGACUGCGAGACGGCCCAGACUGCUACGGGAGGCAGCAGGGGGGAAUAUUGCACAAUGGGCGGAAGCCUGAUGAAGCAACGCCGCGUUCGGGAUGAUGGCCUUCGGGUUGUAAACCGCUUUCGCCUGUGACGAAGCGUGAGUGACGGUAAUGGGUAAAGAAGCACCGGCUAACUACGUG